rnacentral:rRNA from 1 species
GUAGGGUGCAAGCGUUAAUCGGAAUUACUGGGCGUAAAGCGUGCGCAGGCGGUUAUGUAAGACAGAUGUGAAAUCCCCGGGCCCAACCUGGGAACUGCAUUUGUGACUGCAUAGCUAGAGUACGGUAGAGGGGGAUGGAAUUCCGCGUGUAGCAGUGAAAUGCGUAGAUAUGCGGAGGAACACCGAUGGCGAAGGCAAUCCCCUGGACCUGUACUGACGCUCAUGCACGAAAGCGUGGGGAGCAAACAGGAUUAGAUACCCUGGUAGUCCACGCCCUAAACGAUGUCAACUGGUUGUUGGGUCUUCACUGACUCAGUAACGAAGCUAACGCGUGAAGUUGACCGCCUGGGGAGUACGGCCGCAAGGUUG